AUGUUAGGGGAGUUCAAGAAGUUCAUGGCUAGCUAUCCGUGUUCUGUAUUCUUAUCAGUUCAUAAUCGAGAAGACAUGUAUUCUUAUCAGUUUGUUUAUCUAGCCCGUCGUGCUGUGUAUUCUGGUCAGUUCGUGUGUGUAUGUGUUGCCCUCGCAGUGUAUGAGAGGCCGCCCGUGAGGAAGUCGCCGAUCUGGUCGAGGCAUGCUGCUAUUCUCUAUAUCCGGUUGAAGUUAAAAGAAGAUGGAGAUGUGUGUUUUGGAGAGGGAAGAACUUAUCUAGUGGAGUGCGUGUGUGUGCUGCUGCAUCCUCGUCCGGCAGCUCUAAUCCACACUCUUAGUACAACUUCUCUAUGA
rnacentral:rRNA from 1 species